rnacentral:rRNA from 1 species
CCCUUAGAUGUUCUGGGCUGCACGCGUGCUACAAUGGCGUUUCCAGCAAGUCUGCGAACCCGAGAGGGCCAGCGGAUCUUCGAAUUGGCGUCGUGAUCGGGACAGUCGAUUGCAAUUAUUUGACUCAAACGAGGAAUUCCUUGUAAUCGCGAUUCAUCAUAUCGCGCUGAAUACGUCCCUGCCCUUUGUACACACCGCCCGUCGCUCCUACCGAUUGAGCGAUCCGGCAAAUGUUUUGGAUUGGUGCCGGGGCGGCUAGCUGCCGGUCGCUACGAAAUUUUGUGAACCUUAUCGCUUAGAGGAAGGAAAAGUCGUAACA